AACGAACGCUGGCGGCAUGCCUAACACAUGCAAGUCGAACGAGACCUUCGGGUCUAGUGGCGCACGGGUUCGUAACGCGUGGGAACCUUCCCUUAGGGUCGGAAUAACUCCCCGAAAGGGGUGCUAAUACCGGAUAAUGUCUUCUGACCAAAGAUUUAUCGCCUUUGGAUGGGCCCGCGUUGGAUUAGCUAGUUGUUAGGGUAAAAGCCUACCAAGGCGAAGAUCCAUAGCUGGUAUGAGAGGAUGAUCAGCCACACUGGGACUGAGACACGGCCCAGACUCCUACGGGAGGCAGCAGUGGGGAAUAUUGGACAAUGGGCGAAGGACUGAUCCAGCAAUGCCGCGUGAGUGAUGAAGGACUUAGGGUUGUAAAGCUCUUUUACCCGGGAUGAUAAUGACAGUACCGGGAGAAUAAGCUCCGGCUAACUCCGU
rnacentral:rRNA from 1 species